rnacentral:rRNA from 1 species
UUAUACAGCGAAACUGCGAAUGGCUCAUUAUAUAAGUUAUCGUUUAUUUGAUAGUGCCUUACUACUUGGAUAACCGUGGUAAUUCUAGAGCUAAUACAUGCUAAAAACCCCGACUUCGGGAGGGGUGUAUUUAUUAGAUACAAAACCAAUGCCCUUCGGGGCUCUUUGGUGAUUCAUGAUAACUAUACGAAUCGCACGGCCUUGCGCCGGCGAUGGUUCAUUCAAAUUUCUUCCCUAUCAACUUUCGAUGUUUGGGUAUUGGCCAAACAUGGUUGCAACGGGUAACGGAGGGUUAGGGCUCGACCCCGGAGAAGGAGCCUGAGAAACGGCUACUACAUCCAAGGAAGGCAGCAGGCGCGCAAAUUACCCAAUCCCGACUCGGGGAGGUAGUGACAAUAAAUACUGAUACAGGGCCCUUUCGGGCCUUGUAAUUGGAAUGAGUACAAUUUAAAUCCCUUAACGAGGAACAAUUGGAGGGCAAGUCUGGUGCCAGCAGCCGCGGUAAUUCCAGCUCCAAUAGCGUAUAUUAAAGUUGUUGUGGUUAAAAAGCUCGUAGUUGAACCUUGGGCCUGGCUGGCCGGUCCGCCUCACCGCGUGCACUGGUCCGGCCGGGCCUUUCCCUCUGUGGAACCCCAUACCCUUCACUGGGCGUGGCGGGGAAACAGGACAUUUACUUUGAAAAAAUUAGAGUGCUCCAGGCAGGCCUAUGCUCGAAUACAUUAGCAUGGAAUAAUAAAAUAGGACGCGCGGUUCUAUUUUGUUGGUUUAUAGGACCGCCGUAAUGAUUAAUAGGGACAGUCGGGGGCAUCAGUAUUCAAAUGUCAGAGGUGAAAUUCUUGGAUCAUUUGAAGACUAACUACUGCGAAAGCAUUUGCCAAGGAUGUUUUCAUUAAUCAGGAACGAAAGUUAGGGGAUCGAAGACGAUCAGAUACCGUCGUAGUCUUAACCAUAAACUAUGCCGACUAGGGAUCGGACGGUGUUAUUCAUGACCCGUUCGGCACCUUACGAGAAAUCAAAGUG